UACGUAGGUGGCGAAUGUUAUCCGGAAUUAUUGGGCGUAAAGAAUGCGUAGAUUGUAUAAUAAGUCAUUGGUAGAAGUCAGGCUCAACCUGAAAGAAGCUGGUGAUACUGUUAAACUAGAGUGCAGGAGAGGUUGAUGGAAUUCCAUGUGGAGCGGUGAAAUGCUUAGAUAUAUGGAGGAACACCAAUAAAGGCGAAGGCAGUCAACUAUUCUGAUACUGACAUUGAAGCAUGAAAGCGUGGGGAGCAAAAAAGG
rnacentral:rRNA from 1 species